rnacentral:rRNA from 1 species
CACGUAGGGCGCAAGCGUUUGUCCGGAAUUAUUGGGCGUAAAGAGCUCGUAGGCGGUCUGUUGCGUCCGCUGUGAAAAACUCGGGGCUUAACCCCGAGCCUGCAGUGGAUACGGGCAGACUAGAGGUAGGUAGGGGAGAAUGGAAUUCCCGGUGUAGCGGUGAAAUGCGCAGAUAUCGGGAGGAACACCGGUGGCGAAGGCGGUUCUCUGGGCCUUACCUGACGCUGAGGAGCGAAAGCGUGGGGAGCGAACAGG